rnacentral:misc_RNA from 1 species
UCGAUAGCUUCAAGCUCCAACCAUCACUUCCCUUCUCCAACAUGCCAAACGACAGCGUUCUGAGUCUUUUCUUCUUCGUUACCCUCUUCACAUGCCUUCUCUCUGCUAAUUCCCACGAUGACCAUAUUUUCCUACCGAGUCAACUCCAUGACGAUGACUCAGUGAGUUGCACUGCUACCGACCCAAACCUUAACUACAAG